GGGAAUCUGCCCUUGGGUACGGAAUAACUCUCCGAAAGGGGUGCUAAUACCGUAUGAUGACGUAAGUCCAAAGAUUUAUCGCCCAAGGAUGAGCCCGCGUAGGAUUAGCUUGUUGGUGAGGUAAAGGCUCACCAAGGCGACGAUCCUUAGCUGGUCUGAGAGGAUGAUCAGCCACACUGGGACUGAGACACGGCCCAGACUCCUACGGGAGGCAGCAGUGGGGAAUAUUGGACAAUGGGCGAAAGCCUGAUCCAGCAAUGCCGCGUGAGUGAUGAAGGCCUUAGGGUUGUAAAGCUCUUUUACCCGGGAAGAUAAUGACUGUACCGGGAGAAUAAGCCCCGGCUAACUCCGUGCCAGCAGCCGCGGUAAUACGGAGGGGGCUAGCGUUGUUCGGAAUUACUGGGCGUAAAGCGCACGUAGGCGGUCUAUCAAGUCAGGGGUGAAAGCCCGAAGCUCAACUUCGGAAUAGCCUUUGAAACUAGUAGACUUGAACACGGGAGAGGUGAGUGGAAUUCCGAGU
rnacentral:rRNA from 1 species